UGGGGAAUAUUGCACAAUGGGGGAAACCCUGAUGCAGCCAUGCCGCGUGUGUGAAGAAGGCCUUCGGGUUGUAAAGCACUUUCAGUAGGGAGGAAAGGGUAAGGUUUAAUACGCCUUAUCUGUGACGUUACCUACAGAAGAAGGACCGGCUAACUCCGUGCCAGCAGCCGCGGUAAUACGGAGGGUCCGAGCGUUAAUCGGAAUUACUGGGCGUAAAGCGUGCGCAGGCGGUUUGUUAAGCGAGAUGUGAAAGCCCUGGGCUCAACCUAGGAAUAGCAUUUCGAACUGGCGAACUAGAGUCUUGUAGAGGGGGGUAGAAUUCCAGGUGUAGCGGUGAAAUGCGUAGAGAUCUGGAGGAAUACCGGUGGCGAAGGCGGCCCCCUGGACAAAGACUGACGCUCAUGCACGAAAGCGUGGGGAGCAAACAGG
rnacentral:rRNA from 1 species